rnacentral:rRNA from 1 species
UACAGAGGUCCCAAGCGUUGUUCGGAUUCACUGGGCGUAAAGGGUGCGUAGGCGGUCGGGUAAGUCUGAUGUGAAAUCUCACAGCUUAACUGUGAAACUGCAUUGGAUACUAUCCGGCUAGAGGAAUGGAGGGGAGACUGGAAUACUUGGUGUAGCAGUGAAAUGCGUAGAUAUCAAGUGGAACACCAGUGGCGAAGGCGGCCAACUGGACGAGUACUGACGCUGAGACACGAAAGCGUGGGGAGCAAACAGG